UCUCUCUAUUUGGGCUUGACCAAUGUAGCCUUAGCAAGUGGAUUCAGGCUUCAGCCCUGACAGGAGCAGUACAGAAGCAGUGGUGUCAGUGAUUGCUCUCAGUUCAUUUCACCCAGAGGCACACCGAUGAGUUCUUAGAGUACAAUAGGAAAAAUAAUUGUACAAGAGCUGAGGAGGUGGCUUGGCCAAUAAAGUUUGCUGCACAAGCAAGAGGACCUCAGUUUGGACCCCCACGACCACAUAAAAGCCAGGCUUGGUGACGUACACCUGCGAUCCCUAAACUGAGGAGGCAGAGCCUGGAGAAUCCAUGAACCCUCUCUGCCCAGACAGCCUAGCUGAAUCAGUGAACUCCAGGUCCAGUGGGGACCCAGUCGUCAUCGCUCAGUUGGCGAGCAACUGAAAAAGACAUAUGAUGCUUGCCUCUGGCCUCCACAAGCGUGCGAAUGGAUGUGAACACAUCCACCUACGCCACAGACAACAAGAGAUCCGAUUGUAGGUAUGCACUGCACGCGUGAAGGUGGACCUGUUGCCUGCUUCUUACCAAUGUAUCCGUACAUGUGCCGGUCCACACAGACAGCACCAAGAUCACUAACCAGGGGAAAACACUGCUCUCAUCCUCCGGGCAUCAUUUGUUUGCUCAGUCUCUUUGAUCAAAAAUCAAUCUACUGAUCACAACAGGCUACUGUCCGUGAGCCAGGCUCAUCCAGCAUGCAAGCCGAGGCAGCCAAAUCAUAAUCCCAGCCACACUGGCCACCCUCAGCUCUGUGGAGUUCUCCAUUCAGAACAGGGGUGAGGGGAGAGGAAGGACUGGGUCUACAACCCUAAGGGUUGACUGUACGGAAGAGUUCAUUUUCACUGCCCCAUGAAAUCAGUUCCUCCGUCAUUCCAACACUUGUCAUAUAGUUUGACUACAUUUAUUUCCAACUGUCGAGAGCUCUAAUGGUUCGAACAGAGCCAGCGAUUUUAAAGUUAACGCUAGAUUAAUUUAAAGGAAAAAAAUCUCGAGCCUGGGUCUCACGGUUCAGCCCUGGCUGGCCUGGCAUUUGUUAUGUAGACCAGGGUUUAGAGAUGUUAAUUACAUGUUAAUCUGAAAAGCACACACUCUGCAUUUGUGAAGCCUGUGCACCCUGUCCUACUUUAUACCUUGCCCACUCAGAUGACAAAAUGCAGGCUCUCUGCCACAAGGAAACAGAAUUUCAAGCAAUGUGUAUCAGAGAUUGACUAGUUGUUUACCAAACUGUUCCUUUUUACCUCGUGUGUACAUCGCUUGACUACAUUUCCCAAGGUCCCCUGCAAGUCAGAUGUCCUCAUAUGACCAAAUCUUGGUCAGGGGAAUAUGGCAGAGAUGAAGAAUGCUGGUUACAGACAACCUUUCGUAAAACUGGCACACCCCCUGUUUUGUUUUAUUUUAUUUUUUUCCCCUGCAACUGCCAACUGGAUGCAGGAGGCCCAGCAGAGACUUCUGAAGCGGGUACAUCGAGCAGAACCUUCAAGGGAGUGCUGCUUGCUUCCCCAGUGUCCUCAGGGGAGCCCAGCUCCAUUCUCAGCAUCCACAUCUGGAGGUCCACAACUACCCAGAACUUCAGCUGCAGAGUAUCCAACACUUUCCUCUGGACUCUUCGGGGACCUGCGCUCACGUGCACAUACUCCUGACACACAC